rnacentral:tRNA from 1 species
GCGCCCGUAGCUCAGUUGGACAGAGCAACGGAUUUCUAAUCCGUCGGUCAGGGGUUCGAAUCCCUUCGGGCGCG